AGAGUUUGAUCAUGGCUCAGAGUGAACGCUGGCGGCAGGCCUAAUACAUGCAAGUCGAACGGCAGCACAGCAGAGCUUGCUCUGUGGGUGCGAGUGGCGGACGGGUGAGGAAUACGUGGGAAUCUGCCCAGUCGUGGGGAUAACGUAGGGAAACUUACGCUAAUACCGCAUGCGCCCUUCGGGGGAAAGCCGGGGACCUUCGGGCCUGGCGCGAUUGGAUGAGCCCACGUCGGAUUAGCUAGUUGGCGGGUAAAGGCCCACCAAGGCGACGAUCCGUAGCUGGUCUGAGAGGAUGAUCAGCCACACUGGAACUGAGACACGGUCCAGACUCCUACGGGAGGCAGCAGUAGGGAAUAUUGGACAAUGGGCGCAAGCCUGAUCCAGCCAUGCCGCGUGAGUGAAGAAGGCCCUCGGGUUGUAAAGCUCUUUUGUCCGGAAAGAAAAGCGCCGGGUUAAUACCCUGGUGUCCUGACGGUACCGGAAGAAUAAGCACCGGCUAACUUCGUG
rnacentral:rRNA from 1 species